rnacentral:lncRNA from 1 species
GCAAAAUCUUGACCAGGGUAAUCUAUGAGAUGGAUUUGAAAGGUUGAAAUACAAUGUGGAUGAAGCAAUCUCGGUUGAUAGUUAACCUAAGAUCAUCCUAGAGCAUUCAGGGUCAAAAGAAUGAAUUAUGCGGUAACCAUAUGUAUGGAUUUUGGAUUAUUCUUUUGUGAUAAUUGGAUCUAUCUAAACAUCAAAAAUUAUUGCUAGAUGGUAUCUCGAUUAGUGUAGGAAUUGAUUCCUAUGCUACUGACUUAGUGUUUGAACCUAUGGAGUCACGCACAC